rnacentral:lncRNA from 1 species
GUACUAGGGAUACAUUUGAUAACUAAGGUUUUAGACAAAUAUUCACCAGCAUUAGUUCUGUUUAGUACCUGAAAUAUGUUGUAGUAAUAUCAAACAAUAAACACAUGAGGUAAGCAGCAAGCCUCUUAGAAGAAAGACCACAUGCUCCUGCUUCUGUGAAAGCAUUAUUUAUUUGAAAGAGUGCUAGUAUAACCUUUUACUCAACUAUUACUUCUUAAUAUGAAAAAGAGACAGAUGAGCAGAAGAAAGAAAACUCCAGAGUUACAGUUUGCAACCCUGAAUAUAACUGCUGACAUUUCGGUUUCGACACUUGUUUUUCCACGCCACCCUGUAGAGGAAGAUGAAACACAUGGUAAUAAGGUUAAAACAUAUCUUCAUUGUUUAUACAUUCUUAUACAUAUUUCAGAUCCUUUGGGAGAACAAAAUUGUUUAUCAAUAUAUGAAAUACAGGCUACAGACCGAUCCGAGUAUUGCCAUUUAUUAACUGGAGGCAUGUAUACCAAGGCCUUCACAUCUCCCCAAGGCUUCACUAGAGCACAGAAUGCUGAACACAAAUAUUGAGUCUUGUGUAGUCCACAACACAACUGCAAAGCAUGUUCCAUAUUUGCUUACUUUCAAAAUUAAUUUCAAGCUAUGACAAGGAAUUGGUAGAGUGUGUAGAAACUUAAAAACUCUAGAAGCCCUUAAAAUAAAUUGAGGAAUAAAAUAAUUAGAUUCUGAAUCAGUUAAAGUAGAUUAUUUCUAUGUGAUACACUGUUGAGCAUAAAUCUAAUUUUUUAGAUUUUCAGUUCUCAGUAGCAUACCUUGGUCUUUGAGAAUAUUCCCUCACUUCUCUCGUAACAGUAGGGUAAAACUACCGUAAAACAGUAGGGUAAAACUCCCCCCUACUCUUUUUUUUUUUUUUUUUGACCGCA